rnacentral:rRNA from 1 species
UGAGGAAUAUUAGUCAAUGGGCGAGAGCCUGAACCAGCCAAGUCGCGUGAAGGAAGAAGGUUCUAUGGAUUGUAAACUUCUUUUGUAAGGGAAUAAAAAGAGUUACGUGUAACUUAUUGUAUGUACUUUACGAAUAAGGAUCGGCUAACUCCGUGCCAGCAGCCGCGGUAAUACGGAGGAUCCAAGCGUUAUCCGGAUUUAUUCGGUUUAAAGGGUGCGUAGGCGGGCCCUUAAGUCAGUGCUGAAAGUUUGCAGCUUAACCGUAAAAUUGCGAUUGAAACUGAGGGUGUUGAGUGUAAAUAAGGUAGGCGGAAUGUGUGGUGUAGCGGUGAAAUGCUUAGAUAUAACACAGAAAACCAAUUGCGAAGGCAGCUUACUGGGAGGCAACUGACACUGAUGCACGAAAGCGUGGGUAUCAAACA